UACAGGGGGGGCAAGCGUUGUUCGGAAUUACUGGGCGUAAAGGGCUCGUAGGCGGCCAACUAAGUCAGACGUGAAAUCCCUCGGCUUAACCGGGGAACUGCGUCUGAUACUGGAUGGCUUGAGAUUGGGAGAGGGAUGCGGAAUUCCAGGUGUAGCGGUGAAAUGCGUAGAUAUCUGGAGGAACACCGGUGGCGAAGGCGGCAUCCUGGACCAACACUGACGCUGAGGGAGCGAAAGCCAGGGGAGCAAACGGG
rnacentral:rRNA from 1 species